rnacentral:misc_RNA from 1 species
UACUCUCACACUCUCUAAUGCGGUUGCAUUAGGAGUGGUGGACUUGGGUGUUGCUGCUCCACGGUGGCUCACCUCAAAUCGAUUCGUGCAACUCCUGGUUGGACAUAGUACGGCGUGAUAAGUGUCUUCGCCGGCACCUCUUUCAGAGGGUGGCUGAUUGGGAGCUCUGUGCUUCCAAUCGUCUUCGGACAAUGGCUGACA